GACGAACGCUGGCGGCGUGCUUAACACAUGCAAGUGGAGCGACGAACCAGGGCUUGCCCUGGGGCAAAGCCGCGAACGGGUGAGUAACACGUGGGUAACCUGCCCCGAUGACCGGGACAACCCGAGGAAACUCGGGCUAAUACCGGAUGUGCUCCCGCGCCAUCCGGCGCGUGAGCAAAGGAAGCUUCGGCCUCCGCAUCGGGAUGGGCCCGCGGCCCAUUAGCUUGUUGGUGAGGUAACGGCUCACCAAGGCCGCGAUGGGUAGCUGGUCUGAGAGGACGAUCAGCCACACUGGGACUGAGACACGGCCCAGACACCGACGGGAGGCAGCAGUGGGGAAUCUGGCGCAAUGCGCGAAAGCGUGACGCAGCAACGCCGCGUGGGGGAAGAAGGCCUUCGGGUUGUAAACCCCUUUCAGUUGGGACGAAGCUUCGCCCGUUAACAGCGGGCUGGAGUGACGGUACCUUCAGAAGAAGCCCCGGCCAACUACGUGCCAGCAGCCGCCGCCGUAA
rnacentral:rRNA from 1 species